rnacentral:rRNA from 1 species
GACGAACGCUGGCGGCGUGCUUAACACAUGCAAGUCGAACGGAAAGGCCCUGCUUUUGUGGGGUGCUCGAGUGGCGAACGGGUGAGUAACACGUGAGUAACCUGCCCUUGACUUUGGGAUAACUUCAGGAAACUGGGGCUAAUACCGGAUAGGAGCUCCUGCUGCAUGGUGGGGGUUGGAAAGUUUCGGCGGUUGGGGAUGGACUCGCGGCUUAUCAGCUUGUUGGUGGGGUAGUGGCUUACCAAGGCUUUGACGGGUAGCCGGCCUGAGAGGGUGACCGGCGACAUUGGGACUGAGGUACGGCCCAGACUGCUACGGGAGGCAGCAGUGGGGAAUAUUGCACAAUGGGCGGAAGCGUGAUGCAGCAACGCCGCGUGCGGGAUGACGGCCUUCGGGUUGUAAACCGCUGCCGCCUGUGACGAAGCGUGAGUGACGGUAGUGGGUAAAGAAGCACCGGCUAACUACGUG